CACAGCACCACGUUCUUCACGUUCUUGCGCAGCACCAAGUCCUCCGUCUCGAACAUCAGCACCUCUAGAGGGGCAGGGAGAGAAGGAGCGAAGGCAGCCGAACCCCCUGCCCACUGCUGACCUCCCCGGAGCGGAGCAGGGUGAGUCCAGGAGCAAGAAGCAGUUUGUCCUGCUUCCCACGUUGGCCUCUGCCUCCAGUAUCCACCGGGCACCCCAACUCAACCCCCAGCUCAUGCAUAACCAGGCUCUGGAGCCCAACUGCCAGCGCUGGUACUCCAGCUCUCCCACCCCCCAGCUGUAUGACCUUGGGCUACAGCCUCAGACUCCUCUUCUGUAAAAUGGGGCUGUGGUCUAUUUCAUAGGGUGGUUGUGGGGAUAGUGGUUCCAUGUUUGCACACAAUGUCUAGCACGUGGUAAGAGCUUGCUAAAACACUUGCUUUCAUCAACCCUCCAAUCCUGGUGGACCUGACCCCUGCCUCUGUCUCACCGCCACUGCCUUUGGCCUGGAGGAUAGUGUAGCAUCCACCUUUGUCCCUGCUGCUCGGUCCAAGGCCAAGGAGUCGAGGGAUCCUGGUAUGUCACUCUGUGAGUCUUACACUACUAGCCCCACUUGCCUCCUCCCCUGUCUUCUCCCCACUCCACUGUAGCCAAACACAUACCUUCUCUGUGCUGUCCCCCUGCCUAGAACUCCCUGUCCCCCAAACUUCUGUUUAUUCUGUCUUCCCAGCACAGAUGCCUCUACUUGAGCCUCUAUCUCAUUGGGCUGUAAUUGAUGCAUCUUCUCAGCUGUUUCUCUUCCUGGGCCAUGAACUCCUUGCCACUGGGUCUCAGUUCUCUCAGCCCUCGGCGCUCAGCAUGGUGCUCAACUUGAAGAACAUAGGUGCUCAAGUCAUUCAGCCAACACAUUUAAAUAUGGGGGAUUUACUGUGAGAUGGGGAAACUGAGGCAUGGGGAGGGGUGAGCUGGCCCAAGGCAAAUCUGGAAGGAGGACCCUGUCUCCUGACCCCUGAUGCACCUCGAGGCUCAGAAAGGAGAUGGACACCUGAAGAUAAGGGCCUGGGAAGGGGGGACACAGGGUGGUUACCUUGGAUGCCCAUCUCCUUGCGACACCACUGGAUGAAGUUGGAGACAUUGUCCCGGGCCUGGAAGGUGCCCGGCUGGGCGGCCCCAUUGCAGGAAACCCCCAUCCGAGGCAAGGGAAUCCUUUGGGCUCGGGCAGGUGCCUCUGCCAGGAAGGCCAGGGCGGCCUCAGUGAUGGCAUUGGCAUGCCGGCACAGCACCAGGCCCGUCUCCAGCACCUGCAGGAAGUUGGCCGUGUCGAUGUCCAGCCCGUAGAGAUCCCGAAGCCACUCGGCCAGGUCCUCCUUCAUGGCCUCCAGGUGGAGUUUCCCGGAAAUUAGGGAAGAUGGGCCCAGCCCCAGAGAGAACCAUACGCCUCAGCCAGUCAUGGCAGAGUUAAAAUGGAAGUUUCUGCCAAGGCUCCAAGAUUCAGUAUGUGCAGCAAACCACAAAAGGAAGAGAGAAACAGACAGAUGGGCUUCAAUCAAAGAACUGGACACAUAUCCCCAGUCAUCAGGGGGACUCAGUGAACUGAAGUCUGACUCCAGCAUGCAAAACUGAAAAUGUGAAAUACAGCCCGGUUAGGUGCUCCGUGGCAGGAACGAAGGAGGUUGGCUACACCGAACUCAGGGGGCAUCUUCUCAUAGUUUGAACAAAGAAUGCAUGCCUGCUUCCUUUGGACCACUUGUCUGGCCCCUAUCUCAGACUUCUCAAGUGAACUGAUAAAUUUUAUAAAAUUUGAGCCAUUAUUAGUAGGGCAUUCUGAUAUGUGACCAGCCAAACAUAUCCUAAUUGACUUGAUUGAUGUUCAAAGUGUAAGAGGCCCCAUUCUCUUUAUAUGAACAGAAAAUGUUUUUACAGCUAUUCCCACUUGGGUGGCACUUACACACAACCUUAUUGGAUAUCUCUCUUUGUAACUUAUCUUCAUUAUUCAGCUAAAACAAAUACUGCUUCUCUGUGUAACCUAGUUAUUGGAAGUUAAAGAGCUGCUUAUCCUAUUAAUUUAAAAAUUAGGAUUUACUGAGAGGAGGGUAUAGCUCAAGUGGUAGAGUGCAUGCUUAGCAUGCUUGAGAUCCUGGGUUCGAUACCCAGUACCUCCUCUAAAAAUAAAUAAACCUAAUUACCUCCCCCCACCAAGAUAAAA